UACGGAGGGUGCGAGCGUUGUCCGGAAUCACUGGGCGUAAAGGGCGCGUAGGUGGCGUCGCAAGUCAACGGUGAAAGCUCGACGCUCAACGUCGAGUCGGCCGUCGAGACUGCGAGGCUUGAGCACUGUAGAGGCAGAUGGAAUUCCGGGUGUAGCGGUGUAAUGCGUAGAGAUCCGGAAGAACACCGGUGGCGAAGGCGGUCUGCUGGGCAGUUGCUGACACUGAGGCGCGACAGCGUGGGGAGCAAACAGG
rnacentral:rRNA from 1 species